UACUAUAUUAUAAUGCAUGAGGGAGUGGUAUUUUAAGAUACCUAAAAAAUAAGAACUUCUUCCCUCUUUAUUUAUAAAAACACCCCUAAAACGGGGGUAACUUGGUCUUUUAAACACUAAUUGUAUUUUAGUCCCUCAUAUUAUUACACUUAAAUCCUUUUAUUUUAACAAAAUUAUAUAUAAUUAUGUAGAAGUUACACUUUUCCCCCAUCCACAACAAAAUUAUAAUUCUUUUACGUAUUUUUGACAUAUCUUAUAAACUAUAAUGUUUUAAAAAAAUCCGAAGGUACCAUAACAACUUGCUCAUUUUUGUCGACGUUUCGAUGUUUAUCUUAGUCAAUGACGUGCGGAUUAAAUGUACAAGUAGAUAUGCCUUAAUAUACAGUUGAUUAAAGCCCAACUUACUUUUAGUCAUCAUCUCAAAUGAAAAGCUAAAAGCACUAUCAUUUUCUAAACUACAAUUUGAUUAAAAAAUUUCUUUACACUUUAUCAAAUAUCAACAAAACUUCCUACUUUUGGGUAACAAAAUUUUAAUUAAGUAGGAAAAGUUUUUUAAAAUUCAAAAUUUAUAUUGCAAUGAUAAAGAUUAUCCUCUGAAGCAAAUGAUACAAACAUUUAAUGAGCGGGCAAUUAAACUAUUCAACUUUUGAAUUCCCACUUCUCAUCUCCAUAUACUCCUCUUUUCACAUACCCAUGGUUUGCAUCACCUAAGAUCUCGGGAGAUAAAUAACCAGCAGCCGUCAUCUCUUCCAAACCCUAUUAUGAGAAUCGAGGUCUUACCACCACUUGUUAAAGACGGAAAGACACAGAGAUUUCUUGUUGUUCAACCGGUGGAUCUCCGACGACGUUGAGAUUUUUUGAAUUGGGAAUUUACAGGAAGUGGAAAGAUGAAGUGUAGUAACAGUACUUCAAGGUGUAAAUGUGUAAGGUAAGAAGCGUUAAAAAUACACAUGGCGACCUUGCUUAUGUGUCAUGUGAAGCCAAGAAUCUAUGAAAAAGAAUUUUCAGGUUCCUUGUGUUGCAAAUUAUGGCUGUUCAUGAGCUGAACCAAGCCGAGCUAGGGCAAGCUCGGGCUUGACUCGAUUAUAAACUGAGCCGGCUCAGCUCUGCUCAGAUUUAAAAUCGAGCUGUAAAUCUAAGCUCGGGUUCGGCUUGGCUUGGUUUGACUCGAAUUAAAAAAGAAAAUUAAUACAUAGCUCUCAAAGUUCAAUAGUCUAAAAUAUUAUUCGAUAGUUUAAAAAAGCAUAUCUAAAAUGAGUUCAACCUUGUACAUUUUAAGAGAAAAUCAAGUUCAACAAACAAAAUAAAUUUUAAAUUUCAACCAAAUACAAUAUAAGUUUAUUAGCAUGGUAAUCCACCUUCAAAUAUGCUAUAGAUAUACAAUUACACUCAUAAAUACAUGUAAAUAAUAAUCAGUUUUUUGUAAUAUAUUAUAAAGUAUAUAAAAAUAAGGUACAUUAAGAGUAAAAUACUAAAAUAAUCCGAGCUAAGCCGAGCCGAGCUAAAAAAGCGAGCCAAACCGAGUCAAUUUGGCUCGCUACGAGCUGAGCCGAGCUAGGCUUACUUUCUUAUCGAGCUGAUCCGGCUCGGCUCAGUUUCAAACCAAGCCAUGUCGAGCGAGCUUUUUCCGAGCUUUUUGGACAACCCUAUUGCAAAUAUUGGGCAAUAAAAUAGACUACCAGAAAUAAACAAGUGUACACCUGGUCUCUAAAUCCUGUUAGUUUUUUUUUUUUAAUUUACACACACAUAAAUUAUUUAAAUACAUGUUUAUUGAUAUGAAAGUGUUGGAUUUGACUUUUAAAUUGCAAGAAGGUAGAAUAUAGGGCAGAUUGCUUCUUUUAUGAUUCCAGUUCUCUUACUAUAGUCGAUUUUCAAGAAAAAAAUUUAGGUUUAUAAUUGUAAGUUAAUGAGAGAAAAAGAAAGAGUUAUUGGUUUUGGUAAUAACAAAUGUACAAUCAUGUAUCCCAAAGGUACAUGUGAUUUUUUUUGCAGAACAGAAGUCAUGUUAAUCCUUUUAGUCUAUGAUGACCAUAGUACAGUAGAUUUAGAAGUAAAAUUCCUUGCUUUGUGGAAAAGGCGCGCCUUAGUGCCCCUCAUGCCUAGGCGUGACUCGGCACGCUUUUUAAAACCUAUGGCGUAUAAUACGGCAAGUUUUGAAUUCGGGAGAUAGUUUUGCACCUUUGUUUAAGUUCAUUAAGUGUUUCGUCUGUCGAAAGCACUUAGCUUUGUAAUAGAAUCCUCAUUUAGCUUUAACUAAUGUUUUUUUACGUCGACUAUUGUAGGUAAAUCUCUCAUGAUCGGAAACAUAAUUGAUCAAGUUUGGCCAUGGGUCAACGUGGAGGCACAAGGAAUCCUAAUGUAUUAUAAAAGUGUCUUCCAUUGUAACUAGAGACUAGACAUCAUGACGGGUAGUGGUGAAGUUUGAUAAAUUUAAAAGAAAGUUUUAUAUAUAAACUUCUAAAUGUGAAAUCACACGUUGCGGAUA